rnacentral:rRNA from 1 species
UACGGGGGGGGGUAAGCGUUGUUCGGAAUUACUGGGCGUAAAGGGCUCGUAGGCGGCCAACUAAGUCAGACGUGAAAUCCCUCAGCUUAACUGGGGAACUGCGUCUGAUACUGGAUGGCUUGGAUUCGGGAGAGGAAUGCGGAAUUCCAGGUGUAGCGGUGAAAUGCGUAGAUAUUGGGAGGAACACCAGUGGCGAAGGCGGCUACCUGGACCGGUUCUGACGCUGAUGCGCGAAAGCGUGGGUAGCAAACAGG